CGCACAUUGCGCCCCUUGGUAUUCCGGGGGGCAUGCCUGUUCGAGCGUCAUUAUCACCCCUCAAGCUCAGCUUGGUGUUGGGGCCUGCCCGUCACAGGGCAGCCCUUAAAAGCAGUGGCGGUGCCAUCUGGCUCUACGCGUAGUAAUACUCCUCGCGACAGAGUCCCGGUGGUGUCCUGCCAGAACCCCCCAUAUUUUUAAUGAUUGACCUCGGAUCAGGUAGGGAUACCCGCUGAACUUAA
rnacentral:misc_RNA from 1 species